rnacentral:siRNA from 1 species
ACCACCUGUUACAAACAACCCAGGCC